UAAGACAGAGGGUGCAAACGUUGCUCGGAAUCACUGGGCGUAAAGGGCGUGUAGGCGGGAGAGAAAGUCGGGCGUGAAAUCCCUAGGCUCAACCUAGGAACUGCACUCGAAACUUCUUUUCUUGAGUGCCGGAGAGGAAAGCGGAAUACCUGGUGUAGAGGUGAAAUUCGUAGAUAUCAGGUGGAACACCAGUGGCGAAGGCGGCUUUCUGGACGGUAACUGACGCUGAGACGCGAAAGCGUGGGGAGCAAACAGGAUUAGAUACCCUGGUAGUCCACGCUGUAAACGAUGAGUGCUAGGUGUCGUGGGUAUUGACCCCCGCGGUGCCGUAGCUAACGCAUUAAGCACUCCGCCUGGGAAGUACGGUCGCAAGACUA
rnacentral:rRNA from 1 species